ensembl:lncRNA
GAAAAACGUUGUUCUGAGCUCAACAAGCAGUAGUAGCAGUAUGCAAAUCAUAGAGCCAGAUGAAUGGCUCUUUCACCGAUGCAAUUCGGUUCCCGAGGUUCAACAAAAAGAUCCGUUCAAAAAGAGCCGUUCGUUCGUGAACGACACAUCAUUACUCUGUUGUUCUCCACCAUUUCGUAUCGUGAGCUGGAGGAGCGUUCGUCCAACUUCUCAUCCAAGUAAAUGGCAGCGGCGCAUCAUCCAUCCGCUGAACUCCCAAGGGACUGGGAGGAUAGUUCACGAUGCAACAAGCGUUUGGGGAGGACAUUCAUUGAAACGCAAUGACUGUUUUUACAUUCUUGAGGGACUCUUACUCCAGGGGAAAUCUCAGCAGCGAUGUCUCUGCUGUGCGUCAGAGGACUGUAGAGGUGGUGAUCAGAGAUGAAUUUAACUUGGAUAAAGAUGAGAAUCUCUGCUCUGGGGAGGAGGGUCACUGACCUUCGAUGGUUUGUUGCCUGAUAAAGAGGAUACUUGCUGGCUAGAGGAGACUAUAAUGUUUUGAGGAGGAAAUGUGGCUCGAUGACUUAAAGAGGAGGAGGAAUUAUUGGGCGACACUUUUAAUUACCAACGUAACCUCAGUGGAACUGUGGCUUCAUCGAGUUCCAGCUCUAGGCAGACAGCACGUCAGGAAUGCUGUAAGACAUCACAGAGACAGAUGCUUGGCUUUUUCUUUGUCUUUGUGUUGGAGAUUGGCUCUGAUGUUUCAGCCUCUUCUGGAGCUUCUAGCUGCUGGCUGUCUGGCCCCCCCUGAUGGUUCUCUGGCCCCUCCUGCUGGUUCUCUGAACUCCCCUCCUGGUUGUCUGCCCAUGCCUGUUGCCUCCUUGGCCUUUCCUGGUGGCCAUCAGCAGAUCCAGUGGGCUCUUGGCUUACUUGGCUUACUUGUUGGCCUGUGGCCCACCUGGGCAACUCCUGACCGUGGUUGUAAUCGUGGCUAUGUUGGGUGGUUAGACACCGGGUGUUGAUUUGAGCAUCAGCCUCCAGAUUCAUCUGCUCCAGCCUUCAGCAGCUCCUUCCUCUUCUCCCUCUCUCUCUCUGC